GACGAACGCUGGCGGCGUGCUUAACACAUGCAAGUCGAACGGAAAGGUCCUGCUCUUGUGGGGUGCACGAGUGGCGAACGGGUGUGAAUCACGUGAGUAACCCGCCCCUGUCUUUGGGAUAACUUCAGGAAACUGGGGCUAUUAUCGGCUAUGAUCUCCUGCUGCAUGGUGUGGGUUGGAAAGUUUCGGCUGUUGGGGAUGGACUCGCGGCUUAUCGGCUUGUUUGUUGCGGAGUGGCUGACCAAGCCUCUGACGGAUAGGCGACCUGGGAGGGGGACCAGCGACAUGGCGACUGAGAGACGGCCCAGCCGGCUACGGGAGGCAGCAGGGGAAAAUAUUGCACAAUGACCAGAAGCCUGAUACAGAAACGCCGCGUUCGGGAUGACGGCCUUCGGGUUAAGAACCACUUUCUCCUUUAACGAGGCGGUCUUGACGGUAAUGGGUAAAGAAGCACCGGCUAACUACGUG
rnacentral:rRNA from 1 species